GGCAGCCCAAAAGGUCAGUCUCACUCCCACUAUGUCUCCCCUCAACAGCACCGAGUUUGUUUCCAGGCAGCUGGUGAGCAGAGCUGACACCUUUCCUCAGGCUAUAAGCCUCCCCACUGACAAUGCAAGGAGGGCUUUCAGGUUUAUGCCUCCCCACCUGCCGCGGUUUCCUCCCCAAGGACCCCUGCAAGAAAAAGUCAGGAAUGGAUUCCUGGAACAAAGAAUGUCCACAGGGCUCUUGAUGCUGCUGCCUCUACCCCUAUAUUUUAUAUAGUUCUGGAAGUACUCACUGCAGAGACAAAUGGAAAUGAGUCCACUCUAGGAAGAAGAAUAACUGGAAGCUUGAGCUGUGUAAAUGUGACUUGGAAAUGUGACUUCAGGAGAAAGAACCAGGAAAUGAGCUGCUGUAUGAUGAGUAACUCAAACAGCCCUCUGAAGAGAAACACAUAUAAAGGAACUGAAGCCUCCUGUCAAUAACCAGCACUAAUUUGCCAGGAACAUGAGUAAGCUAAUUGUAGGUGAAUCCUGCAGCUUCAGUCAAGCCUUUGCUAACAUCUUGCCUGGAACUCAUGAGAGAUUACCAGCUGAAAUUACCAGAACACCCAGCUAAGCUGUUCCCAAAUUCCUGAUCCAUGGAAAUUCUGUGAGA
rnacentral:lncRNA from 1 species